rnacentral:rRNA from 1 species
UACGGGGGGGGCAAGCGUUGUUCGGAAUUACUGGGCGUAAAGGGCUUGUAGGUGGCCAACUAAGUCAGACGUGAAAUCCCUCGGCUUAACCGGGGAACUGCGUCUGAUACUGGAAGGCUUGAGUAUGGGAGAGGGAUGUAGAAUUCCAGGUGUAGCGGUGAAAUGCGUAGAUAUCUGGAGGAAUACCGGUGGCGAAGGCGGCAUCCUGGACCAUUACUGACGCUGAGGCGCGAAAGCUAGGGGAGCAAACGGG